AUUGAACGCUGGCGGCAUGCCUAACACAUGCAAGUCGAACGGUAACGCGAAGAGCUUGCUCUUUGGCGACGAGUGGCGGACGGGUGAGUAAUGCUUAGGAAUCUGCCCAGUAGUGGGGGACAACUCGGGGAAACUCGAGCUAAUACCGCAUACGCCCUACGGGGGAAAGCGGGGGAUCUUCGGACCUCGCGCUAUUGGAUGAGCCUAAGUCGGAUUAGCUUGUUGGUGAGGUAAAGGCUCACCAAGGCGACGAUCCGUAGCUGGUCUGAGAGGACGAUCAGCCACACUGGGACUGAGACACGGCCCAGACUCCUACGGGAGGCAGCAGUGGGGAAUAUUGGACAAUGGGCGCAAGCCUGAUCCAGCAAUGCCGCGUGUGUGAAGAAGGCCUGCGGGUUGUAAAGCACUUUCAGUAGAGAAGAAAAGCUUAAGCUUAAUAAGCUUGAGUCUUGACGUAACCUACAGAAGAAGCACCGGCUAACUCCGU
rnacentral:rRNA from 1 species